rnacentral:rRNA from 1 species
CUGGAGAUGGCGACCGGCGCACGGGUGAGUAACACGUAUCCAACCUGCCGAUAACUCGGGGGAUAGCCUUUCGAAAGAAAGAUUAAUACCCGAUGGCAUAAUAGAACCGCAUGGUUUGAUUAUUAAAGAAUUUCGGUUAUCGAUGGGGAUGCGUUCCAUUAGGCAGUUGGUGGGGUAACGGCCCACCAAACCUUCGAUGGAUAGGGGUUCUGAGAGGAAGGUCCCCCACAUUGGAACUGAGACACGGUCCAAACUCCUACGGGAGGCAGCAUG